AGUCUCACAACCAGCUCUCUGGAGAACAAACAACCAACCCUGAUUCGUGGAGUUUGCCAAUUUCCAUGAUGUAAAUACUCCGACCGUGGGUGAUUUCAAACUACCUUCCUGAUGUCACCGAAGGUGGAGCUGGGAAGAGAUGGGCAGUAGGUGGUGAUGUGCAGGGGGUGGUGUCCACGCCAUCCUAUGGUGUUUCCCCCACACGGACACAAUAGACGCAGACAACCUCGAGCGCCGAUGAUGGCAAAGUGAAGUGAAUUGAUAGGAAUUGAUGAGUUCGGAGUAUUUGUUACUUUUAAUUUUAAGGCCAUUUAUUGAAUGGUAAGUUUGUAUAACUUUAUUUUUAACAGUGACUGCUUUUAACAAGCAGCUCACAAAAUUAAUUCCUGAAAAUUUCACAAGCACCUCUUGAGAGCCAGUAUGAACUGAUUGCAGCACACCACUGCCCGAACCCCGUGAUGUAGACGCUGUUGUCAGGGAGGUGAAGCGAGGCCACUCAGCUGGUCAAUGGGACAGCUGGAGAUUCUUGAGCAAGUAACUUCCUGUCUCUGAGCCUCAGUUUCCUCAUCUGUAAAAUGGGGACAAUAAAACGGGGUGCUGCGGAGGUUUAAUGAGCUAAUGCUUGUAAAGCACCUGGCGUUCAGGACAUGCUUGACAAGUGGGAACCAGUAGUGUGUUAAACUUCUUUUUAUGAUAAUAAUGAACAUGGAUCCUGCCCUCAAGGUCUUCAUGGCCUAGUGGAGGGAGGGGGCCAAUGAUAAGACAUAUACACAGUCACAGGAAUCUGAUCCAGGCAGAAAAGGAAGGCUUCCUGGAGGAGGCUGCAUUUGAACUGGGCCUGGCAGGUAAGGGAGAAGCGGGGUCCCUAGGGGUUAGGAGGAGGCAUUCCUGGCUGACGGUCCACAACAAGCAGAGGAGGGACCCAGGAGGCGUGAAGAUGAGAGUGAGAGAUGAGGCUCGAGGCAACAGGAAGAACGUCGGAAGCCAAGACGGAGUCUGAACUCUCCUCUGAGGGCAGUGGGGAGCCACAGCAGUUGUUCAGCAGGGCCUGAUGCCAUCAGACUGGCCUCUUGGAACGUCAGUGACCGCAGUAGGGAGAAGGGCUGGGAGGGGGCAGGAGUGGAGGUGGCAUUGGCCAUGGAGCCGGGGGUAUGGAAGCCCACCCAUCUGGGCUCCUUCACUGUGCCUGGGUGUGGCUAGAGUGUCCAAAGACACAGGCCCCCUUGACCCCUCCUCUCCUGUAGCCACUGGGGGCGCGGCACAGUGGAGUCCCCGCCCCAGCCCUGCCCAAGCCCAGGUCCAGCUCCAGCCCCCGCAGCUAAUCCUAGUGUCACUGGGUCCCGAGGCCGGGGCGGGGCAGCCUGGCAGCUGGCCUCAAUUAGGUGGGGAGCCUGGUCUGGACAGUGUCAUUAGGAGAAAACCAGAGCCCGGCCAUAAACUCUAAUGAAUGCAUUAAUGGAAGGCUUGUGCGCCUCAAAGGGAAAAAAAAAAGCAGGUCUAAAUAAAGUUAUUAACACAGCCCACCUGUGUUCGGCUCUUGGCCUAUAUUGUUCAAAUAGCCCAUUAACUCCUGAAGCAUCCAGUCUUGAAAGCGAGGCCUGCCUCUCUGAAGCCGACGUUUAACUGCGUUCAUAUAAUUCAAUUAGAUUCCGCAGUCCUGGGCCAAAGGCAUUCUCCCGGCUUUCAUCUCGGUAAUGGCCUGCAGGCCGGAGCGGGGAACAGGGGGUUAAAAAGAGGGGCUUGGAACCUGCCUUUUGGCCUGACUCACCCCAUCACCUGGAGCGGCCUCCAAAUGAUUUCCUGGGGCAGAACGUGUUCAUCACCCGCCCAGGCUCCCCGUGGUCUUCAGUGCCUGGAAUUCGAACCCAGACCUUCCUCACGCAUUCUCUGUCCAGCAUCCAAGCCCCGCACCCCCUCCAGUCGGCUCCAUUCCCCUUGUCCAGUGGUCCAGCCAUCCAAGGACCCUGACUCCGCUCAGCCAACCCUAUUAAUAAAGAGUAAAGAAAAUUCAUUAGGAAGUGGGCCUUUUAUAGAUUCCGUUAAAGCGUUCUUCCUACCUCUGUCACUGAAAAAGGAUAAAAAUCCUUUUAUCACUCUACAACUUGUUAAUGUUCCACCCCGGGAGCACUUCAUCUGUAAUAAACAUCUUCACGAAAUAUGCAUCCCCAGGGAGGAGCCGUUAAUUUCCUCAAGGCCUCACACAUGUAAAGGGUUUUAUUGCCUGCAGGUGCUUCACGAUAUUGCGUGGGCUUCUAAUAAACGUCCAGUAAACCGCAGGUAGCGCCUCGGAGAGAGAUGGGCCUGUGCACCUGUCCACAAAGGGCCUCCACAUGCUGCAGCUCCGCCUUCCGUGGCCCAGCCCUGGCACGGUCGGCUCCGGAGACGAUCCUGCCCCUCGGGACGCCUGCAGGCAACUACUGUUUCACUUCCCUGAAGAAGCUCAUAAUAUUAUAAUUCAAGUGUCAGGACAGAUUAGGUUAAACGAACUGUGUAAUUCCCGAAGGAAAACAAACUUCAAAACGGACGCGGUUUGCCACGUAACAUGUCAUGGAUUGCAUUAGCGUCGCACGGGCAAUUCCAUCACCUAAUGUGCUAAAGUUGGCUCAAAUGUUCCCCACUCUGCAAGGGCCACAGCAGUUGGGGCCACGGCUUAUCCAUCAUUGCAAAGAUCUCUCCGAGAGAAAUGAAACAAGUCAGCUCUGCCCAGAGGGGGAGAAAGCUGAACGGCGCAUGGGGCCGCCCGUCCCAGGACCUUCUUGGCUUGGCUCCUGUGGAAGGGCGUGGGCUCCUUCGUCUGAAAACUGCCAAGGGAAUGCAGCCACACGGCUUAAGAGAAAUGGCGCAUCCCUGUGGUUUGGUGUCCAAGUGGACCAUUCAGGACGCUCAACUCAGAUUCCUUCCCAAACUUUGUCCAGCUCCAAGACCAACAGGGGGCUUCCACUGCAGAGGUCCAGACACCUGCACAGAUGUGUCCCUGCUGGGGGGAGGGGGUGGUGGUGAAGGUGGAAACACCGUUUCUAAGCAGCUCCUUAGAAGUGAACAAAUUCUGGUACCUCCGCGUUGUCUCGGGAACCUGCCUCUUUCCUGCCGUCUGUGCUCCCAUCCUCCCAGUGGGGGGGCUGUGGAUUCUCCAACAGGCCCAGGUAGAAUUCUGAGGUCAUCGGAGUCCCUCCUUCAAGCCUCAGUUCUAUCAGUAUCAAACUUCUGGGGAGACUUCAGGGGAAGCAGCAAGUUUGAGCCAAGAACGCAGAAUUGGAAUUCUCUGAUAAAUCCCUCCCAGCUGAGCCGGGAGGGUCUGUAGUUGGCUCAGCAAGCAGGGACGGCAGGAAGGGGCUGGUGCUGGGAAACUUCAAACAGACCUGGGGUGGCGGGGAGGCUGUGCUGAGGGAGGAGGCCACCGACAGAGGGCUCAGUUAAUUAAAGAGAUGCGUGGGCACACCUAUAGGCUCAGCCCUCUUGGUGUUAAAGCGCCAGCAACUCAAGUUCUGUGCAGGGACUCCCUCCCCCAGGGGGAGGCCUGGAAGCGGGGGAAGCCUCGAGCCACAUUUAGGAUGGACAUUUGCAGUCUUCUGGAAAGCCCCAGCCAGGGGUCCUUGGCCCUUCCACCAAGAGUUCCAAGGGAGCCGAGACUGUUUAAAAGCCUCCUUAAGCAUCAAGGGGUCUCCUGUGUUGCAGGCACUGGGCUGCACAUCACCUGGGAGAGGUAGGGGUCAUCAUAUCUCCCAUUUUACAGAUGAGGGAAGUAAGGCUCAGAAGUCACCAGCUCAAGUGCCUAUGGCUGGUGUGUGGGAGAGGCCCGGCUGGAGCUAGGAUUCUCUGACUUAUGCCACUGGCUGGAGCUGGGGACAGGACAGAGACCAGCAAAGGACAGGUGAUGGCUGCUUCCAUCCGGCCCUCACCUUGGCCCGCCCUUCACACUGUCCUUGACAUUCAAUCAGGUGCCUGUGAUGUCUGGCCCAGAGGUUGGGGCUGGGCCUCCCCAGCUUCCCAGCGACAAAUGGUUCUCAUUUGAAAGGGAGGUUAUAAAAACACAUG
rnacentral:lncRNA from 1 species